UUUGUCUUAAUUUUACUUAAGUUUGAUAAAAUAAGCAACCUUUAUACUUUUUGAGUGUGUUGAAUUUUUGUUAUGGCUCAAGAAAAUUGAGGGGAAUAGAUAAUAAAAAAAUUUCACACUAGGGACUUAACUUUAAAAUAAAUAUAUAUUAUAAAUUUUAUUUUUAUUUUUUUAUUUUUAUUUUUUUAAAUAUAGAUAAACACUUAAAUGAAAGGGAAAUAACA
rnacentral:lncRNA from 1 species